AUCACCCUAGGCAGAAGAAAGAAGGGAGGGGGAAGACUCAAAUAUUUAUAUGUUUUUAAUUAAUAUGUUAUUCCAGGAAACCCAGAGGAGAGAAAAAAACUAUUUUACUGGAGCCUAUCUGUUCUUAAGAGGUUCGGGAGAGCUUCACUUUGGUCACAAAAAUUCCUCAGUUUUAUCAGUGGAGCACACACACACACACACACACACACACAAAAACAAAAAACGAAACAAAACAAAACAAAAACAUGAAAGGGGCGGUUUUCAGUGAGAUCCAGGCUAUUUAAAACCAUCACGUUAAACAGGUUCCCGUUUAAAUAGGACAGCCCAGAAGGUCUCUAGGUGGUGGUGGGGAGAAGAAAGGCAGCUUGCAGGGGUGCAUAGAUGGGAGGCACUGGAUGUUGCAGUAAAUGGUGUCACCAUUCUUUACGGUUUAAAUAAAUAAAAUCCUCUCCUGAAGGUAAGGGGACAAUCUAUUGUUUCCUAGAGAUUUUGUCUUAAUCUUAUCUGAUCUCUCUCUCCUGCUCAUCUCUAGUUCCCUAUCCUAUUGAAGAUGGAAUGCAUCAGUCCACGUGAGAACCAGAUAAAAAGAUACUGUACUAUAUGGCUUUCAGAAGCAAAGCUCACUUCAACUAGUAGAACCAGGCCAUACCUGUAGCUAAGGAAUAUGUGUCAAGCACCUUUAGAGCUGAGGAGAAGGGUCAGCUGGAUGGGUUUCACAUUUGGGAUUGUGUCCAGUCGGGGACUCCUUUCUCACCUACUCUGCUGUGAGGCCCGUACGUGAAAUACUCACACCAGUAAGAAGCUUCAACUGGCUAUGCCAUUUCCCCUUCAGAUUUGGACUGUCUGGAAAGUUACGCCCCCGGGGCUGAGAAGAAAGGAGGGAAGUAAGGGGACCGUGAAGGAUGGAGGCCAAACUCCUUUGUGCUUGACUCCAGUGUGAAACCAAUGAAAACCCAGGGACAACUGAGAAGGAAAGGUAGGUUGCGUUUGUUGGAAGAACAGAGCAUGUGCGUGCAUAUCUCGUCUGACCCGUACCUUGGAGAAGAAUUCUCUCUCUUCAGGGUGUUGAGGUGGAAAAGGGAGGGCGCUAGGCACACAGCCAGGUUGGUGGGGGUCAUCUGGUUUUCUUUGACGGCGGCCGUGACAUCGCUCAAGAAAUAAAGGAGCGUCUGUAGAACCUCCCGGUUCUCAUCAGGCAGGAGCAUAAUGGCGGCCUUGAUCGCCUGGAGGCGCUGGUCC